GGAAGCGUGGCUGAGUUGGUUGAAGGCGCACGACUCGAAAUCGUGUAUGCGGUAAUCCCGCAUCGAGGGUUCAAAUCCCUCCGCUUCCG
rnacentral:tRNA from 2 species